UUGGGGAAAGUUGCUUCCCCUCUCUGAACCUGUUUCCUCACUGUAAAUUCAGAUUCAUCCUUUAUUGAGCACCUACUAUGUGCCAGGCAUUGGGUUGAGUGCUGGGGAUAAAGUAAUGAGCAAGCCCUUAUCUUGAUGAACAGUUACGGAAUAAAAUAGACCUGCAAAAAUAAACACGCAAUUCACAACUGAGGAGACGCCACAUAUGACCUGGUACACACAUCUAUCUUUGUCUUCUGAGAUGGCGAAAGAUAUCCUGGGACCUGAGCCCAACCCACCCACAGGACCUUUUUCCCAGUCCCAGGGGCCAUAGCCAGGUGCUAUGACAAGCUCCAAAGAGAUGCUUCUCCCACUUUCUCCCCAUCCCCACUCCUAACAAUGACCAGACAGAGGGGGCCUCCUGGGCCUGAGCGGGGCUGGGCAGCCUCAGUUCUUGGUGCGAAGGACCUGCUCGUGGGUGGACACCACCUUGCCAUCGUGCACAUCCAUGAUCUUGGUGUGGAUUUGGUGGCUGGAGGAGGUCACUGGGGAAGAGGCGGAAAGAGGACAUUACCAGAGGUGGACAGACAAUGGACUAAUCAGGAGUAAGGAGGCCAAGAAGACUAGGGCUCCCAAAGGUCAGAGACAGAGUCUUUGUCUUCAGAUUAGAGCUUCCUAAGAGCUCACACCCAGCUGGUUCCGUCCAUAUUCACCCAAUGGAGUGGUCUCGGUGGGAGGAGCCCUGCAGGGCCCUGUUCAUGGUGCUGAGCACCACAGCAAUAGGAUCUGCCACAGACACCCGGUAGAAGUAAGAGGCGGCGGUAGGUGGCGAUCUCCUGUUCCAGCCGCAUCUUCACG
rnacentral:lncRNA from 1 species